GGCGAUUGGUGGCCAUCUUGGUGUUUCACCUUCUGGCCUCCCUCGCUGGGCUCCUGGGAGGGAGAAAACUCUCAGCGAGGAAUACUUCCGAAGGAUUGAAGCAAUUGAAUUUACCAUAAAGCAAGAUGAUGGCGCAUUGCCACGAAACCUGCACUUGGCUGAUAUAAUUCUAACGGGCGUUUCACGAUCUGGGAAGACACCACUGUCUAUUUAUCUUGCACAGAAAGGAUAUAAAGUAGCUAAUGUGCCUAUUGUCAUGAAUGUAGACUUGCCCAAGACUCUUUUUGAAGUUAACCCAGAAAAGGUUUUUGCUUUGACCAUAAAUCCUGUUGUUCUGCAAUCCAUCAGAAGAGCAAGAGCUAAGACUCUCGGUUUUAAUGGAGAAAUAAAGACCAACUAUUGUGACAUGGAUUAUGUGAAACAAGAGUUGGAAUUCGCGGGAAAGAUUUUUGCGCAAAACCCUGUCUGGCCAGUGAUAGAAGUUACAGCUAAAGCUAUUGAAGAAACGGCAGUUAUUGUUCUGAGACUUUACCACGACAGAAAGAACAGGUGUUCAAUGCCAAGAAUUUCAAAACGCUAUUAAACUAUUGUUCUCAAGCAUUGAGGGAUCAGAUCUUGGGGUUCAAUUAAAGACUAUACUUGAAAGUCUCGAGUCAAGACAUCAUCUUUGGCUGGCAACGCCGGAGCAAUAAACUUACUAUGAUAGCAACUUAUGUUUGACAGGCAGCAACAUGCGGCACUUGACACAAGAUGUCUCCUUGACAAUGCCAAGUUCAGCUUCACUCUAAAAGUUUUUCACAUAUGAGGCCUACGAGUUGAAGUUGCUGGCUGCUGUGUGGGUGAGUUUGGGGUGUUCAGUACAAUAUAAGGGCUAGAAGCUAAGUUCCUUUGGUCGCUGCCCACACACACAAGACACUCGCAUGCGUUCGUGCCUGCUUUUGGCGCCCACAGUCCGCUUUGCCUCUUGUGCAUAGCACUGCCAAUGCUGCCUUGUUCCUCCCAAGGCUAUCCUGUCCUACUUGGCAUGGCAUUGGUGUCAUGCUCAUACAAUACGGGCAAGCUGUUGCGGUGUGGAAUGUUAUGCUUAUCUCAGAGUAAGUUGAAUAAAUAUGCACUGCACGUAUAACUGCUUUGUAAUAGAGAAGUUUAUACAACCACUACUGCCCUAUAUGCUUCAAUAAAGAGGUAUGUCUUGUUCUAUUAAUAGCUUACAGUAGAGGAUCGCAAAAUAUUACUCCUGGUUCUCAAAAACAACUUCUGUAUAAUAUACCAAACCAAAAAACAUAACCAAAAACACAUAAAAAAAAAAA